rnacentral:tRNA from 1 species
ACUCUAUUAGUAUAAAUAUUACAUUUAGUUUCCACCUAAAAAAUCUUUUGAUAGAGUA